UACGUAGGGGGCAAGCGUUGUCCGGAAUCAUUGGGCGUAAAGCGCGUGUAGGCGGCCCGGUAAGUCCGCUGUGAAAGUCGGGGGCUCAACCCUCGGAUGCCGGUGGAUACUGUCGGGCUAGAGUGCGGGAGAGGCGAGUGGAAUUCCUGGUGUAGCGGUGAAAUGCGCAGAUAUCAGGAGGAACACCAAUUGCGAAGGCAGCUCGCUGGAACGUAACUGACGCUGAGGCACGAAGGCCAGGGGAGCAAACGGG
rnacentral:rRNA from 1 species